UUGACGGGGCCGCACAAGCGGAGGAACAUGUGGUUUAAUUCGAUGAUACGCGAGGAACCUUUACCUGGGCUUAAAUGUAGAGUGCAUUUUUUAGAGAUAGAAAUUCCCUUCGGGGCUUUUCUGCAAGGUGCUGCAUGGUUGUCGUCAGCUCGUGCCGUGAGGUGUCGGGUUAAGUCCCAUAACGAGCGCAACCCUUAUCGUUAGUUGCCAGCUGGUAAAGCAGGGGACUCUAGCGAAACUGCCACCGUAAGGUGAGAGGAAGGUGGGAUGACGUCAAAUCAGCACGGCCCUUAUGUCCAGGGCUACACACGUGUUACAAUGGCCGGCACAGAGGGCAGCUACCUGGUGACAGGAUGCUAAUCUCGAAAACCGGUCUCAGUUCGGAUCGAAGUCUGCAACUCGACUUCGUGAAGCUGGAUUCGCUAGUAAUCGCGCAUCAGCCAUGGCGCGGUGAAUACGUUCCCGGGCCUU
rnacentral:rRNA from 1 species